rnacentral:lncRNA from 1 species
AGGCCAUCCUUUUGUCUAACAGGAUGGGAUUCCCUGAUAGAACUAAAGUCAGAUGCUAAAGUUGUCAGGAGUGGGUAAAGUCUUUGCAGCCUCUUUGUGCUGGGGAUACCUGGAAGCCUGUAGCUCUUGUAGCUCAUCUGGUUGAUAACCACAGACUUGGGAACACUGGGUCAUAUAAUCCAGGUAGUACAAUCUUGGAUACCAUCCCCCAUUAGAAGUUGGAAGACAUUUAUGUCAAGAUCCGUCUGUAAUUGGUAACUUGGAGCUCAUCACUUCAAGUCCCUGGAAUUCGGUGUCUCUACCAUUUCCCUUAAAAAAUGGAAGACAGUAGCCCCUAUUCUCACUGUGCAUCACAGCUAAUACCACAGGUGUCUCUUCUCACACCCUUCCUGCAUACCCACGACAGAGUCACCUUCUUUCUCAGCCACAAGACAAUCUCUCCACACUGCUCUUCUGCUCAACAAGCUAUUGCUCUCCCCUGCCAUAAAGUCCAAGUUCAUGAACAGAGCGCCUGCUUUUCUUGGAAGUGAGUGCUCAUAUUGCCCGUUCAGACAGAGCAUCCCUGAUUCCUCUAAAACACACCAAAGGCUCCUGCUGUGUUGCCUUUUUCAUCCUCCUGUGGUCCUAUGACCAGGACCAGGUGGCCUUCCUUGCCUGCCCAUCAGUGCCACCUCUGGUUAGUCCCUGCUCAUUUUCCUUCUUAAGUUGGCACCUAUGGGUAUCCAGAUAUCCUCUGUUCUGGAAAGCCUCUUGGUAUAUGAUCCUUUAUAUCCUUAGGUAUGUAGGCACACAAGUGAUCACAGACUCUCUGCGAUAUGUAAUGAAAGAGUUGGUGCUGUGGUCAAACUAGACAUAGGAGGCAACCCUGGCAAAAAGCCCUGCAGUUUCCUUGUGUCUGUCUGCAGAGCUCGAUGUGUUCAUGAACUGAGUUCAGAUUUUCAAGCAUAUUUGGUUGUAUUUUCUUUGCCUACCUAGGGGACAACCCCAGAUGUCCCAUAGGCUAACCUGUCAGUAGAAGCAAGCAGUAGGGACCUCUUGGAAGCUCCUCAAAGUAGGUUCUUUGGCUUUUUGCCCACACACAACCUCUCUCUCUCUCUCUCUCUCUCUCUCUCUCUCUCUCUCUCUCUCUCUCCAGCAGGCUGAAGCCAGUGGUGAAAGUAAUAGAUUGGGACUGGGAUGCUCAGGUUAAGUGGGCCGCUUUGCGGAGCUCAUCCAUAACCCUGCUGGAGCCCAGAGAACAAUACGUUAAUUAGAGCCGACGGCACGGCUCCCAUCAGCCAUCCAUCCUGUCCAUGUCUACGGGGCCUUCCCCAUGGACACGCCAGCCCACUCCCUACUCUGAAAGAGAUUUAUUCAUUAUCAAUGUGUGUCUAUGAGACGGACCUAGUGGGGACUGAAGAAGGUGAGAGGGAGAUGCCAAAAGGGACAGAAUGUGAAAGAGGCUGAUCCCAAUCAGCUGGCAGAUGGUCAAGGGGUGUGUUUGGGGGCUGGAGAUGGGGUGUUCCCAAUUAGGGGGAUGUGACAAAGCCACCUGGUUGGGCAGGAGAGCCAAAAGCAACAGAAGAGUUGCCAUGCCUGUGUCCAGCAAGGAGUCUUGGCCAGGUUUGAACGCAGCUUUCUUUAAGUCCCGAAUAGUAGAGAAGAGAAGACACGGAAGAUAAUAUCCUUUCAGCCCAAAGCUGUGUAUCCCCCAGAAUCUAUUUCCAAAGCACCCACCGAAGAAAAUGAUGCCCA